CCUGACUGUGGGAAAUCCCUUAACUCGGGAAUCCUGAGUUCUCCCCUCAGAUGAGAGCUGAGAUGAGCAUUAAAUAAGACUGAGCACAGGAAGGGCAGUAAAGAAACACCUGUCCUGGAGGAGGCUGCAGAGCAGAAUAAGCCUGAGGAGAGGCAGGGCUGGACGUGGACCCCACCGCCACGAUGGCCCCUCCCGCAGGGCAGGCGAGCGGCAGGGACGGAGGGCAUAACAGAGAAAGGCACGAAGUACGCCACCCAGUUCCCCUGCCCUCGGAGCUACUACGACCCAGACCCACUGACCCAGAGCCUGGACAGCUGCCUGCCCUGUCCCCCAGGCCACUGCUGCGGGUAG
rnacentral:lncRNA from 1 species